AGGGUGCAGGGCGGAUGCCUUGGCACUAGGAGCCGAUGAAGGACGUGAUAAGCUGCGAUAAGCUUCGGGGAGUUGCACGUAAACUUUGAUCCGAAGAUUUCCGAAUGAGGAAACUCACUUAGAGUAAUGUCUAAGUAUCAUUAAGUGAAUACAUAGCUUAAUGAGGGGAACUCAGGGAACUGAAACAUCUAAGUACCUGAAGGAAGAGAAAGAAAUUCGAUUCCGUAAGUAGCGGCGAGCGAACGCGGAUUAGCCCAAACCAAUAAAGUUUUCUUUAUUGGGGUUGAGGACAUACCACAUAUAAGAGGUCAUUAUAGACGAAGAAGUUUGGAAAAACUCAUCAUAGAAGGUAAUAAUCCUGUAGUCAAAAUAAUAAUUCUUUAGGUAUGAUCCAGAGUACCACGGGACACGUGAAACCCUGUGGGAAGCAGGAGGGACCACCCUCCAAGGCUAAAUACUACCUAGUGACCGAUAGCGUAUAGUACCGUGAGGGAAAGGUGAAAAGAACCCCGGGAGGGGAGUGAAAUAGAACCUGAAACCCUGCACUUACAAGCUGUGGAAGCACAUUUCUUGUGUGACCGCGUACUUUUUGUAGAACGGGCCAACGAGUUACGUUAAGUAGCAAGGUUAAGCACUUAAGGUGCGGAGCCGUAGCGAAAGCGAGUUUUAACUGAGCGUUCAGUUACUUGACGUAGACCCGAAACCGGGCGACCUACCCAUGAGCAGGAUGAAGCGAAAGUAAAAUUUCGUGGAGGUCCGAACCCACGAGCGUUGAAAAGCUCGGGGAUGACUUGUGGGUAGCGGUGAAAUUCCAAUCGAGCCCGGAGAUAGCUGGUUCUCCCCGAAAUAGCUUUAGGGCUAGCCUCAAGGUGAGAGAUACGGAGGUAGAGCACUGAAUGUCCUAGGGGGUAUUGCACCUACCGAAGACUAUCAAACUCCGAAUGCCGUCAUCUUAUACUUGGGAGUCAGACUGUGGGUGAUAAGAUUCAUAGUCGAAAGGGCAACAGCCCAGAUCGUCAGCUAAGGUCCCUAAAUGUAAGUUAAGUGGUAAAGGAUGUGGGAUUGCACAGACAACCAGGAUGUUGGCUUAGAAGCAGCCACUCAUUCAAAGAGUGCGUAAUAGCUCACUGGUCGAGUGAUCCUGCGCCGAAGAUUUCCGGGGCUAAAACUUACUACCGAAGCUACGGCAUCAGUAAUGAUGGGUAGGGGAGCUUCCCAUACGGGUUGAAGCAUGACCGUAAGGACAUGUGGACAGUAUGGGAGUGAGAAUGUUGGCAUGAGUAGCGAGAUGUGGGUGAGAAUCCCACAGGCCGUAAACCCAAGGUUUCCAGGGGAAGGUUCGUCCGCCCUGGGUUAGUCGGGACCUAAGCUGAGGCCGAAAGGCGUAGGUGAUGGACAACAGGUUGAUAUUCCUGUACUACCGAUAACCGUUUGAGAGAAGGGAUGACACAGUAGGAUAAGCUAAGCACACUGUUGGUUAUGUGUGCCCAAGCAUUGAGGCAGUCAAAGUAGGCAAAUCCGCUUUGAUAAUGCUGGGAUGUGAUGGGGAGCGAAAUUUAGUAGCGAAGUAGCUGAUUUCACACUGUCAAGAAAAGUCUCUAUCGAGGUUAAAGGUACCCGUACCGCAAACCGACACAGGUGGGUGAGGAGAGUAUCCUAAGGCCAGCGAGAGAACUGUUGUUAAGGAACUCGGCAAAAUGACCCCGUAACUUAGGGAUAAGGGGUGCCACCAUCAGGUGGCCGCAGAGAAUAGGCCCAAGCGACUGUUUACCAAAAACAUAGGUUUCUGCUAAGUCGCAAGACGAUGUAUAGGAGCUGACGCCUGCCCGGUGCUGGAAGGUUAAGGGGAUCUGUUAGAGCAAUCGAAGCAGUGAACUUAAGCCCCAGUAAACGGCGGCCGUAACUAUAACGGUCCUAAGGUAGCGAAAUUCCUUGUCGGGUAAGUUCCGACCCGCACGAAAGGCGUAACGAUUUGGGCACUGUCUCAACAACAGACUCGGUGAAAUUGUAAUUCCGGUGAAGAUGCCGGAUACCUGCGACAGGACGGAAAGACCCCAUGGAGCUUUACUGUAGCUUGACAUUGGGUCUUGGUACUACAUGUACAGGAUAGGUGGGAGGCUUUGAAACCAGGACGCCAGUUUUGGCGGAGCCAUCCUUGGGAUACCACCCUUGUAGUACUGGGACUCUAACCAUAGGCCAUGAAUCUGGUCUUGGGACACUGUCAGGUGGGCAGUUUGACUGGGGCGGUCGCCUCCCAAAAGGUAACGGAGGCGCUCAAAGGUUCUCUCAGUACGGUCGGAAAUCGUACGUAGAGUGUAAAGGCAAAAGAGAGCUUGAUUGCAAGACAUACAGGUCGAGCAAGGAUGAAAAUCGGACUUAGUGAUCCGGUGGUUCUGCGUGGAAGGGCCAUCGCUCAACGGAUAAAAGCUACCCUGGGGAUAACAGGCUUAUCUCCCCAAGAGUCCACAUCGACGGGGAGGUUUGGCACCUCGAUGUCGGCUCAUCACAUCCUGGGGCUGUAGUAGGUCCCAAGGGUUGGGCUGUUCGCCCAUUAAAGUGGUACGCGAGCUGGGUUCAGAACGUCGUGAGACAGUUCGGUCCCUAUCCGUCGCAGGCGUAGGAAAUUUGAGAAGACCUGUCCUUAGUACGAGAGGACCGGGAUGGACGUACCUCUGGUGUACCAGUUGUCCUGCCAAGGGCAUGGCUGGGUAGCUAUGUACGGAAUGGAUAAGCGCUGAAAGCAUCUAAGCGCGAAGCCAACUUCAAGAUAAGAUUUCCCACCGCAAGGGUAAGACCCCAGAAAGACUAUCUGGUUGAUAGGUCGAAGGUGUAAGUGCAGCAAUGUAUUUAGCUUAUCGAUACUAAUAGGUCGAGGACUUGACC
rnacentral:rRNA from 1 species